AGACUUUUUAUUUGAUGCUUGCAUCUUUUAAAAAGUUGAGUGGCGAACGGGUGAGUAACACGUGGGUAACCUGCCUUAAAGUGGGGGAUAACACUUGGAAACAGGUGCUAAUACCGCAUAACCAUCAAAACCGCCUGGUUUUGAUGUUAAAGAUGGUUCUGCUAUCGCUUUAAGAUGGACCCGCGGCGUAUUAGCUAGUUGGUGAGGUAAUGGCUUACCAAGGCAAUGAUACGUAGCCGAACUGAGAGGUUGAUCGGCCACAUUGGGACUGAGACACGGCCCAAACUCCUACGGGAGGCAGCAGUAGGGAAUCUUCCACAAUGGACGAAAGUCUGAUGGAGCAACGCCGCGUGAGUGAAGAAGGUUUUCGGAUCGUAAAACUCUGUUGUCAGAGAAGAACGUGUGUGAGAGUAACUGUUCACGCAGUGACGGUAUCUGACCAGAAAGUCACGGCUAACUACGUGCCAGCAGCCGCGGUAAUACGUAGGUGGCAAGCGUUGUCCGGAUUUAUUGGGCGUAAAGGGAACGCAGGCGGUCUUUUAAGUCUGAUGUGAAAGCCUUCGGCUUAACCGAAGUCGGGCAUUGGAAACUGGGAGACUUGAGUGCAGAAGAGGAGAGUGGAACUCCAUGUGUAGCGGUGAAAUGCGUAGAUAUAUGGAAGAACACCAGUGGCGAAAGCGGCUCUCUGGUCUGUAACUGACGCUGAGGUUCGAAAGCGUGGGUAGCAAACAGGAUUAGAUACCCUGGUAGUCCACGCCGUAAACGAUGAAUGCUAAGUGUUGGAGGGUUUC
rnacentral:rRNA from 1 species